UACGUAGGGGGCAAGCGUUGUCCGGAUUUAUUGGGCGUAAAGAGCGUGUAGGCGGCCAGGUAGGUCCGUUGUGAAAACUCGAGGCUCAACCUCGAGACGCCGAUGGAAACCAUCUGGCUAGAGUCCGGAAGAGGAGAGUGGAAUUCCCGGUGUAGCGGUGAAAUGCGCAGAUAUCGGGAAGAACACCUAUUGCGAAGGCAGCUCGCUGGGACGUAACUGACGCUGAGACGCGAAAGCGUGGGGAGCAAACAGG
rnacentral:rRNA from 1 species